GGCAGCUUUCACCAAUGUUUAUAAAGAAGACAAAAUCUAUUUACAUUUUUCCAAAUUCUUUAUGAUCUUUCUCAAUUACACAUACAUUCAUCUCCAUUUAUUAGAGAAGAGUGGUUUAUAUUAGAUAGAAAUAGACCGAUGGAGAGAAGAAAGACGGAGAAAUCAGUGCACCACUCUACAACAGAUGGGAUUUGCUGAGAUAUCUUUAUCAUUGAGUAGAAGAUAUUAUUUAAGUCGUUAUGCUCAACUUGAAUGGAAGAGAUUUACAAAUUUUCUUAUGCUGGGGUAACUGUUUUUCCAAAGACUAAAUAUUUUAGUAAAUCAGAGUUUUGUUGCCUGCACAUCUAUUAAUUUGUUCCUGGUGUACUGUGUUGUGUGUGUGUAUAGUGAGAAGGGGAAAUGAAGACAGAGGAGGGAAGCUGCUCCUCCACUCUGCCUCAAGCUCGUGCAGAACUAUUUCCUCCAUGGACCCAGCUCCCAUCCAGGCUCUUUCCCGUGGCCCUGUGGCUUGUCUCUGACAACAGCAACUUGUUCUCAUGUCUCCUCAGUCGUAGGAAAGGCCAUUUCAUGACACAGGGAAUCUCCAUAGGAGCAUGACAGAAAGCCGUUUUUGGGGAACAAGUGAUGUUUGGUUACAUGAGUAAGUUCUUUAGUGGUGAUUUGUGAGAUUUGGUGUACCCAUUAUCUGAGCAGUAUACACCAAUUCUUUUUCUACAUAUAUACCCAUAAAAACUGAAAACUUUUGUUCAUACAACAACAUGUACAUGAAUGUUAAUAGUAGCAUUGUACAUAAAAAGCCAAAAAAUGGAAACAAAGCAAAUAUCUAUCAACUGAUGAAUCGAUAAACAAAUAUGGUAUAUCCAUACAAUGGAAUGUUAGUCUCCCACAUAAAGGAAUGAAGUACUGGUACAUGGAAUAACAUGAAUGAACCUUGAAAACAUUAUUUUAAGUGAAAAAAGCCAGAUUCAAAAGGCCAAAUAUUGUAUAAUUACAUUUACAUUAAGUGUUCAAAAUAGGCAAAUCCAUAGAGUCAUAGCUUAGUGGUUGCCAGGAGCUGGAAUAAGAAGGCAUAGGCAGUGAUUGCUAAUGGAUACAGGGUUUUUUAAGGUAAUGAAAAUGUUUGGAUUAGAUCUUGGUGACGCUCGAACAACUUUGUAUAUUCUGAAACCCAUUAAAUUGUACACUAUAAUGUGGUAACUUUUGAAGUAUGUGAAUUACCAUCUAAUUUUUUAAAAACUGGAACUGCAAAAUAUUGGCAAACAUACUAGAAAGACAUGGCUAAUUGAAAAAAGGAAGUAAAAAGUGAAAGAAUAUAUGAAAAUAACAAAAAUAGGAAAAAUUCAUGAUGUAAUCUCUUUUCUUAGAGAAAGGAGAUGAUAUAUAAUAAUGGGUAAAACAACAGAAAAAUAAAGCCCAUUGUAUUUUCAGUGCAUUUUUUUUCCAAUUAAAGUACCUACUUGAUAAGAUAUCCAUUUGUGUGUGUUUGGGUGUUGGCAAAACAUAAGACAUAAACAGCCAUCUUUUUUUGAAACCCAGAUAAUUCUAGACUUAAAAUCCACUGUUUUUUUAUAUUUUGACUGUGAUUACAAUUUUUGCAUUCUUUUUUUUAUGUAAAAUCUUUGAAAUCCAUUGGUAUUUUACAUUUUAGUACAUCUCAACUUGGAUGUAAAAUGUUUAUCAAAAAUAUUUGAUCUGUAUUUAGAUUUGUAAAAAUUACAGUUAAAAUAAUUUAAUAUAAAAGAG
rnacentral:lncRNA from 1 species